rnacentral:rRNA from 1 species
GAUGAACGCUGGCGGCGUGCCUAAUACAUGCAAGUCGAGCGAACGGACGAGAAGCUUGCUUCUCUGACGUUAGCGGCGGACGGGUGAGUAACACGUGGAUAACCUACCUAUAAGACUGGGAUAACUUCGGGAAACCGGAGCUAAUACCGGAUAAUAUUUUGAACCGCAUGGUUCAACAGUGAAAGACGGUCUUGCUGUCACUUAUAGAUGGAUCCGCGCUGCAUUAGCUAGUUGGUAAGGUAACGGCUUACCAAGGCAACGAUGCGUAGCCGACCUGAGAGGGUGAUCGGCCACACUGGAACUGAGACACGGUCCAGACUCCUACGGGAGGCAGCAGUAGGGAAUCUUCCGCAAUGGGCGAAAGCCUGACGGAGCAACGCCGCGUGAGUGAUGAAGGUCUUCGGAUCGUAAAACUCUGUUAUUAGGGAAGAACAUAUGUGUAAGUAACUGUGCACGUCUUGACGGUACCUAAUCAGAAAGCCACGGCUAACUACGUG